GGGGGGGGGGGGGGGGGGGGGGGGGGGGGGGAGGGGGGGGGGAGGGGCGAGGAGGUUGCGCCUCGGACGGGAGCGGCGGACGGGGGAGGAACACGUGGAUAACCUACCUAUAAGACUGGGAUAACUUCGGGAAACCGGAGCUAAUACCGGAUAACAUGUUGAACCGCAUGGUUCAACAGUGAAAGACGGUCUUGCUGUCACUUAUAGAUGGAUCCGCGCCGCAUUAGCUAGUUGGUAAGGUAACGGCUUACCAAGGCAACGAUGCGUAGCCGACCUGAGAGGGUGAUCGGCCACACUGGAACUGAGACACGGUCCAGACUCCUACGGGAGGCAGCAGUAGGGAAUCUUCCGCAAUGGGCGAAAGCCUGACGGAGCAACGCCGCGUGAGUGAAGAAGGUCUUCGGAUCGUAAAACUCUGUUAUUAGGGAAGAACAAAUGUGUAAGUAACUAUGCACGUCUUGACGGUACCUAAUCAGAAAGCCACGGCUAACUACGUG
rnacentral:rRNA from 1 species